GGCAUCAGAAGCAGUGGCUAGCAAGGUCUGCUCUGAUUCAGUGCUCUAAAGCAGAUUUCCUUUGGUGAAUGGAUUUCACCAGCCAGCACGCUGACUCUUCUUCCUGGAGAAGACGACAUCUGGGAAGACCUAAGUCAUCACAUGCUGUAGCUGUGGUCAAGUCACCCCUGGCCAGGAGGAAUCACAGAGCUGGGGGCCCAAUAGGACCUGCUGAUGCCUCCACUCAGCACAUCUGGGUUUUUUCCUUUCAUCCCUAGAUUCAGCUCUGCGCAGCUGGUACCAACUCAAGGUGACCGUGAGCAGGGAGUUGCCCGUCUGAUGGCCGAGAGGACUCUGCAUGUGAACGUGCUCCGUAACCACACAUGCAGUGGGACAAGAGCUAAAAAAAAAAAAACCCAACAUAACACAACACUUGAUGACGCCUUGCAACCCCUGCCCUCCCUUCCCUUCUGAGGAGGAAGGAUCCCAGCUGUGCUUGGCCAGCGGCCGAGUCUGGGCGGGGCCCGAUCAGAUGCCAGGGUGCAAGGGAGCAAGCAGGCCUGCUCUGCUCUGCUCUGGGGCGUCCCAUUUGAGCCACUUCAGAAGGUGUGACUGCGGCCAGCUGGCCUCUCCAGGCUGGUUCCCUUUCCCUCCUACUCUGCUACCUUCCCUUCGGCCCCUCGUUUUGUCUCCAG